rnacentral:rRNA from 1 species
UGGGGAAUUUUGGACAAUGGGCGCAAGCCUGAUCCAGCAAUGCCGCGUGCAGGAUGAAGGCCUUCGGGUUGUAAACUGCUUUUGUACGGAACGAAACGGCUCUGGUUAAUACCUGGGGCUAAUGACGGUACCGUAAGAAUAAGCACCGGCUAACUACGUGCCAGCAGCCGCGGUAAUACGUAGGGUGCGAGCGUUAAUCGGAAUUACUGGGCGUAAAGCGUGCGCAGGCGGUGAUGUAAGACAUAUGUGAAAUCCCCGGGCUCAACCUGGGACCUGCAUUUGUGACUGCAUCGAUGGAGUGCGGCAGAGGGGGAUGGAAUUCCGCGUGUAGCAGUGAAAUGCGUAGAUAUGCGGAGGAACACCGAUGGCGAAGGCAAUCCCCUGGGCCUGCACUGACGCUCAUGCACGAAAGAGUGGGGAGCAAACA